rnacentral:rRNA from 1 species
UCUACAUUAGAUACCCCCGUAGUCCCAGCCGUAAACUAUGCGCGUUAGGUGUAUCGGUGACCACGAGUUACCGAGGUGCCGAAGGGAACCGUGAAACGUGCCGCCUGGGAAGUACGGUCGCAAGGCUGAAACUUAAAGGAAUUGGCGGGGGAGCACAACAACGGGUGGAGCCUGCGGUUUAAUUGGACUCAACGCCGGACAACUCACCGGGGACGACAGCAAUAUGUAGGCCAGGCUGAAGACCUUGCCUGAAUCGUCGUG